GCCGUAAUAAUUAUUUUUUUAAAAAAAAUGCAUACAUUAAACAUAUUGAAUAGGUCGAAAAUUAUUUCAAGCGGCAAAUCAUCGUGGGGGACACGUUGCGGAUACCUAUAAUGCACCGUUACAAUAAUAUUAUUGUGUAUUGUUUCGAAUACCUAUUAUACUCCUGAAAUAGGUGUCGGUUUUUAUACGGGCAGGUGUGCUCAAAGAAUACUGUACAGG